rnacentral:lncRNA from 1 species
AGUUGGAUAAGGCGCUGUGGUUGAUUGAGAAAGGGAGGGGUUCGAAUCCCUCUGUGCGCAAGAGCGAGACUUUUCAACAUUUUCCAUGUAUUUUUCAGCUUCAUAUGGCGAGAUUAUCCAUAUUAUCAAUAAUAUCGCGAUAUAUUGCCCAAAUAAUGCAUGAAAAAUGUUGAAAUUAUCGUCCACGAUAAUAUCGACAAAAAUAUCGAUAUAUUGAUGAUAAUUAAGUGGAUAUGUACAAAAUAAUUUCAUUUACGCCAAAUAAUUUAAGUCUAGAUUAU